rnacentral:rRNA from 1 species
AUGAACGCUGGCGGCGUGCCUAAUACAUGCAAGUCGAGCGAACAGACGAGGAGCUUGCUCCUCUGACGUUAGCGGCGGACGGGUGAGUAACACGUGGAUAACCUACCUAUAAGACUGGGUUAACUUCGGGAAACCGGAGCUAAUACCGGAUAAUAUAUUGAACCGCAUGGUUCAAUAGUGAAAGACGGUUUUGCUGUCACUUAUAGAUGGAUCCGCGCCGCAUUAGCUAGUUGGUAAGGUAACGGCUUACCAAGGCAACGAUGCGUAGCCGACCUGAGAGGGUGAUCGGCCACACUGGAACUGAGACACGGUCCAGACUCCUACGGGAGGCAGCAGUAGGGAAUCUUCCGCAAUGGGCGAAAGCCUGACGGAGCAACGCCGCGUGAGUGAUGAAGGUCUUCGGAUCGUAAAACUCUGUUAUUAGGGAAGAACAAAUGUGUAAGUAACUAUGCACGUCUUGACGGUACCUAAUCAGAAAGCCACGGCUAACUACGUG